rnacentral:pre_miRNA from 1 species
UGGAAGACUAGUGAUUUUGUUGUUGUCACCUGUUCCAAACAAAAAAUCACAGUCUGCCAUU